rnacentral:misc_RNA from 1 species
CGCGUCAAACUGUGAACUGCAGGACACAUGAACAUCGACAUUUCGAACGCACAUUGCGGUCCUCGGAUACUGUUCCCGGACCACUCCUGGCUGAGGGUCGUUUCCUAAUCCCAGAAUGCCCGGUCCGUCGGCGGUUCGCCGCCUCGUCGGACGUCGGGGCUCGAAUGGGAACUCGUCCUCCGUCCGCUCGCGCGGAUGGUGGUCGUUUCCCGAAAACAGACGGGCACCGCUCCGCCCAGUGCGGUCGGUGUCCUCACACGCAUCCGGUCGCCGUCGACCCACAGCGACGGACGGCGGCGGCGGGCGUGCGACGACGGUGGUCGUGUCCCAGACGGUUCCGGUCGUCUUCGACGUCGACGUCGCGUCGCGCCCGCGGGGCCGUCGUCCGGUCGGCGAGUGCCGGUCGGGCACCACGGAGAGAGAGAGGCCGCGCGCGUCUCCCUAGCGCGUCGGUCCGAGUUCCGUCGCCCGGUACGAAACUUCGAACGAGGGGGAGGUGACGUCGUCGCAGCGCGGCGUCUCGAGUACCCCAGCGUGUUUCGGACGGGCGUGCGUCGAGUCGGAUCCUCGCGGUGUCGCGCUCCGCCGAGGAGCGCGUGCCGCGCAGAGCGGGCGUUCGCGUCCGAUCGCGCGGGAGACGAGGAUUUCUCUCCGCCCGUUGAGGCGGGGGACCGGAGACGGUCCCCCGCGGUUGAGCUCACGACCUCAGAGCAGGAGAGACCACCCGCUGAAUUUUA